AGAUGAGAGAUACACCCCGCCCACGGGGGACUGUGGGCGGUCUCGGGCCGAGGCCUCCCCAGCUUCGACCUGGCCGUGCCCUCGCGCACACAACCGGCGCCCUCGCGGCUCCGGGAUCUCCUCACCGAUCGGA
rnacentral:ncRNA from 1 species